rnacentral:rRNA from 1 species
AUGGAGUACGGACACCCCUGCAACAACAGCUCCGGCAACAAGGAGAAGAGGCCUCCGCUCAAGAGGGGCCAGCUCAAGGUGCAAAUAGCCCAGACCCUGGGCAGCCUUGUUGUGCCGGUCACCAGGAACAACUUCAGGAGAUGA